rnacentral:misc_RNA from 1 species
GCAACACAGCAGACCCCCAAGGAGGAGCAGGUGUCACAAGCGUGAUGUCUACAAAUAACACGGCCGUCGAUCCAGCGGAGGAAGCCCGCCGGCGGGCCAAGAAGGACCGCAAGCUGAUCAAGAAGUUCGAGAAGGAGAAGGAGCGCAUGCGCAGGGAGCUGGCCAUGGAGGACGAUUACGCGGAUCCCAUCAAGGAGUUCCUGCCACCUGAGGAAGAGGAGAACGACGAACUGCGCAUGAAGGCCAUCCAGGCUUUGCGGGAGUGGGUGCAGCAGCAGCCGCACUUCGUCAACUGCAGGACAGAUGACAAAUUCCUGCUCAGAUUUUUGCGCGCACGCAAGUACUGCAUGAGCUCUGCACAAGAGACCCUGGACAAGUACCUUACUGUCAGAUCGACGUACCCGAUCUUCUUCAAUUGCCCGGACAUCUACGAAGAGUCCCUGCGUGAUCUCUUGUCAAAGGGGUACUUCUUCCCACUCUUCCGAAAGGACAGUCAGGGCCGCACAGUCAUGUUCAAUGUAGCAGGCGCCCUGGAACCUAGAAUCCACAAAACGAUUGACAUCUACCGGGCGUUCUCUAUGAGCUUCGAGGCGCUGCUGGAGGACGAGGACAACCAGAAGAACGGCCUCACCUACAUCCUCGACGAGAGCGGAUUCAGGCUAAGUCACUUGGCUCACGUCAACCUUAGGGAUGUCCAGCGAGUCAUGAUCAACGGCGAGAAAGGCUGGCCCAUGCGCCACAAAAACAUCCACUGGGUGAACGUGCCGAGGUACAUCUCGGCCAUCUACGAGCUGGCGCUGAGCAUGUUCAGCCGGAAAGCUGCAGAGCAGGAUGUUUGUCCACUUCGAGGUCCCCAGUCUGCACGAGCACAUAGACCCUGAGAUCCUGCCCCUGGAGUUUGGAGGGACCAUACCGAUCAAGGAGAUGGCGGCCGCCUGGAUCAAGAAUCUCGAGGAGAAACGGGACCUGCUGAUGUCUCUCGACCAGAUGGGCAUCGACGAGAGCAAGCGGCCCAAGAAGGAGAAACGCCAGGGCUACAGCCUCA